GUGGGUAUAGCUCAGUCGGUUAGAGUGUCAGGUUGUGGCCCUGAAGGCCGAGGGUUCGAACCCCUCUACUCACCCCA
rnacentral:tRNA from 1 species